rnacentral:lncRNA from 1 species
UCAUUUUAUUACCUAAAUUAAAACAUGUUUUAAAAUUUUUAUUUAAAAAGCAUUUUAACUUUUGCUUUAAAAAAAAAACCCUAAAUGCCUUGUAUGUUUUCUCAUCUCCCUCACUCUCCCUUUACUCUCCAGCCGAAAGGCUAGUGCCCAGGGCCUCCAUUCGUGACCAGCGAAGGCCCGCCGACGGUGCGAGCACGGUGCGACUCCGGUGACUCCCUUUCUCCCUAGUAUUUUGUGUUGGUAUUGUAAAUCUGAAUGAAAAUAAAAAACAUAAUAAAUAGCGAAAAAUCACCUUUGAAGUAUAUUUUUCGAUGGCUUUUUAUUGAUCUUUGUAUGUAUUUUAUAUACAAUUUCUCUGGAAAAAGAAAGAAAAAAACCCUCUAUAAUAAAAAAUUUUGAAGGCUUUAUAGCUAAAUACAAACAGUUGCUUGCUAUUCUAUCGCUCAAACUGCAGAUCGUGGAGGAGAGCGUCGUGGGGCGUGGUGCAUGUUGCACAUGGGCUAGGGGUCGUGCUUGAUAUGCCGACGUACGUGGUGGAGGGACGCUGAACGUAGAGGCUGCGAUGCAAGGCAAUAGCCUAGGGUUUUCCAUGUUUUUCUGACUUAGGCUAUUGGGCUUGUGCAAUUGAUUUUUUUUUGGGCCUAGUGUAAUUAAAAUAAUUUAAUGGAUUGUUUAAUUUUUUUUGUUUGAUUUUGGUUUCCCUAUGGGCCGAGCAAAAUUCGGGUUUUACAAUAAGCCUAUGCACUUGCUAUACCAUAGACAAAGUAUGUCAAAUAUAUUAUCUAUCGACAAUAAGUUAAUAAAAAAUUGUAAACAACCUACUGCUACUUGACAAUAUAUCCAAAAUAAAUAUAUACCAAAAGUUGCUAAUAUAGUCUAUGGACAAAAGAUUGCUAAUAUAUUCUAGAUUUUAUGAGACAAUGAAGCUACACACCCUGGAAGAAUAGAAGUCUAAGGAUGGUCAAU